rnacentral:lncRNA from 1 species
ACCUCAUAGCCUUUAUCCUAUUUUCUUCAGAAGUGCUCCAGCUGGGGAUGCUGCAGAUCAUAUCAGAAAUGCUGGCGUAACCUAAACACCUGACAAAUAGGUUAACGCAGAGAUGAAGGCAGAUCACAGGCAAUUUAUACAGCAAAAGAUUGACAAGAGUCUUCGUUCUAUUUUUCUACAACAGUGCUCGAGGAGAUGUUGCAGUCACAACAAAAAGUGCUGCCAUAACUUGUCUUUUCAGGCUUAACUGAUGCACCUGUCAACGAAGGUGGAAUCUGAAUCUUAUUAUAUGAGGUUUGGUUUCAGGUUUAUGAUUUUUUUAAAAUAAAAGGGUUAUGUAAAAUGACAUCAAGAAUAUAGCAAAGACAUUACCUUACUGUUCCACCUUGUUUUGUGUAUGAGCACUCUCAGAUCUUAUCAAAGGUGAAAUAAAGCUUAUGGCUGACAUCAUGUGAGUGAGAGCUAGUUUAGAAAUUUUAGGCGGGUUCAGUAGUGCAAAACUAACAUAGCAAGGGGCACCAAACUUCUCAACAGUCCCAAGGCAUAUCCCAGGCAAGCAUAGUAUAUAAGGAAUUAAGGAUUAACCAUGAGCAGCUGAGCUUCCUGGAAACACCCCGUAGUGGCAUACAGAGAUUAAAAAGUGAUCAGAUAGCAUUUCGAUUUUUUGCAAGCUUUGGGAAUUACAGAUUCAUUGCUUAAUAAUUAGAUCUAAUACAGAAUGCAAUGAUUUACAUUAC